rnacentral:rRNA from 1 species
CCUGAGCUAAUACCGCAUAACACUUACGAGUCAAAGCAGCAAUGCGCUUGGAGAGGAGUUCGCGGCAGAUUAGUUAGUUGGCGGGGUAAUGGCCCACCAAGACGAUGAUCUGUAUCCGGCCUGAGAGGGCGCACGGACACACUGGAACUGAAACACGGUCCAGACUCCUACGGGAGGCAGCAGUGGGGAAUUUUGCGCAAUGGGGGAAACCCUGACGCAGCAACGCCGCGUGGAGGAUGAAAUCCCUUGGGAUGUAAACUCCUUUCGAUCGGGACGAUUAUGACGGUACCGGAAGAAGAAGCCCCGGCUAACUUCGUGCCAGUAGCCGCGGUAAUACGAGGGGGGCAAGCGUUGUUCGGAAUUAUUGGGCGUAAAGGGUGCGUAGGCGGUUUGAUAAGUCUUGUGUGAAAUCUCUGGGCUCAACCCAGAGUCUGCACAGGAAACUGUCGGGCUUGAGUAUGGGAGAGGUGAGUGGAAUUUCCGGUGUAGCGGUGAAAUGCGUAGAUAUCGGAAGGAACACCUGUGGCGAAAGCGGCUCACUGGACCAUUACUGACGCUGAUGCACGAAAGCUAGGGGAGCAAACAGGAUUAGAUACCCUGGUAGUCCUAG